rnacentral:rRNA from 1 species
UACGUAGGGUGCAAGCGUUGUCCGGAAUUAUUGGGCGUAAAGAGCUCGUAGGCGGUCUGUCGCGUCUGCUGUGAAAACCUAGGGCUUAACUCUGGGCGUGCAGUGGGUACGGGCAGACUAGAGUGCGGUAGGGGAGAUUGGAAUUCCUGGUGUAGCGGUGGAAUGCGCAGAUAUCAGGAGGAACACCAAUGGCGAAGGCAGAUCUCUGGGCCGUAAUUGACGCUGAGGAGCGGAAAGCAUGGGGAGCGAACAGG